rnacentral:misc_RNA from 1 species
GUACUCUCACACUUCCGGUCUUUGGAUUGGGAGCGGUGGACAUGGGUUUGCUGCCUCACGGUAGCUUGCCUCAAAUAUGUUAGUGCAGCUCUUGGUUGGACAUAGUACGGCGUGAUAAGUUCUUCGCCGGUGCCUCGCUUGCGGGGGUGGCCGAUCGGGGUGGUGUGCUCCAAACCGUCCGUGUUCGGACAAUCUCUGACA